GACGAACGCUGGCGGCGUGCUUAACACAUGCAAGUCGAACGGAAAGGCCCUGCUUUUGUGGGGUGCUCGAGUGGCGAACGGGUGAGUAACACGUGAGUAACCUGCCCUUGACUUUGGGAUAACUUCAGGAAACUGGGGCUAAUACCGGAUAGGAGCUCCUGCUGCAUGGUGGGGGUUGGAAAGUUUCGGCGGUUGGGGAUGGACUCGCGGCUUAUCAGCUUGUUGGUGGGGUAGUGGCUUACCAAGGCUUUGACGGGUAGCCGGCCUGAGAGGGUAACCGGCCACAUUGGGACUGAGAUACGGCCCAGACUCCUACGGGAGGCAGGAGUGGGGAAUAUUGCACAAUGGGCGGAAGCCUGAUGCAGCAACGCCGCGUGCGGGAUGACGGCCUUCGGGUUGUAAACCGCUUUCGCCUGUGACGAAGCGUGAGUGACGGUAAUGGGUAAAGAAGCACCGGCUAACUACGUG
rnacentral:rRNA from 1 species